UUGUAAAGUCAGCUUGCUUUACUUUGGGCUUCAGCGCUGACCUUUGACCUCUCUGUUGUGCAGAUCAGAGGAACGUGACAGCAGAACCGGGUCAGGACGUGGUUCUGCCAUGUAGAGCUGCUGGGAACAAACGGCUCAUCGCUGUGCAGUGGAGCAGAUCUGAUCUGAGGUCAGAUUAUGUUCUUCGCUACAGAGACGAGCGUCUGGACGAGGAGAACCAGAACCCGUCCUUCAGAACCCGGGUGGCUCUGCUGGACGGAGCGGUGAAGGACGGAGACGUGUCUCUGGUUCUGAAGAACCUGACGGCCAGCGACACCGGAGCGUACGAGUGUGGAGUCGCCCAGAGAGGAGCAGGAGAAGCUAACGCUAACAUGAAGCUCAUCAGCACCAUCUACCUGCAGGUAGCUCCGCCCCCUCCUCCAGGGAACCCAGAGGACAGCAGAAACACUGGAUCCAGAAACCUGCACCUGGGACUGAUAGUUUCAGUUAUUUUAGUCGUUGUUCUGAUUGUUGCUGCUUCGGUUCUGGUUCUGACCUGCAGGGAACCAAACAGCUGAAAAGCACCUGGACUGAUUCCUCCUCUGAGUCUGGCUUUGGCUGCUCCAAUAAUCUGAACAGAAAAAGUUUCCUUCCAACAGAUUAUUGUUAUUGUUGACCUGAAUUUCUCGGAACUUUUCUGUCUUCCUGGGUUCCACCGGGUUCUGCUGAGAUCAACACCAGCAGGCGACUUUCUGUCAGAACAAGCAGGUGAACUGAAGCUUCGUUAGCUAAAGACCUCAGAGCUGCAGAGAAGCUGCAACGUUCAGACAGAGAAACAUCAGAACCAAUGAGUUUUAUUCUCCUGACGCCUCAGUGAUCAGAAACUAAACGACUUCAGAGGAGAACUGGGUCGGUCCGACCUGAUUUCCUCAUCGGGUUGGCCUCAGUCUCUGGCUUUAAUGAAAUAUUAAACAGUUUACAGAGAGGAGCUGCUGAGAUCAGCAACAUUUUUAAUAGUUAGAGAGUUUUAUCAUUUGGACUUUCUGAAUGUUUCUUGUUAAUCCGUUAAAGAUCCAGAUUCUCCUGCCAGCAGGUUAUUAGCAACGUUAACGAUUAUCACUAUUAUAUCUAUCACGAUUAUAAUUAUAACAUUAACGAUUAUCACUAUUAUAUCUAUCACGAUUAUAAUUAUAACAUUAACAAUUAUCACUAUUAUAUCUAACACGAUUAUAAUUAUAACAUUAACGAUUAUCACUAUUAUAUCUAUCACGAUUAUAAUUAUAACAUUAACGAUUAUCACUAUUAUAUCUAACACGAUUAUAAUUAUAACAUUAACGAUUAUCACUAUUAUAUCUAUCACGAUUAUAAUUAUAACAUUAACGAUUAUCACUCAAAGCAAUAAUCAUUGUUGAAAUAACGUCAGUCUUGCAGUGGUACAUAAAUAAAGAUCAUUUUUCUGGAUAAAUCAGAGGAAAAAUGAUCAUUUUUCCAGCCUGCUGCUGUCAGAACAGAAACAUGUCAAAGCUCCAAACAUGAUGAUUUAAAAAUGCUUUUAUUUAAAAAUGCUUUUAUUUCUUCCCACCUUAAUAAUUAUAACAGCCUUUUUAUGAACUUUAUAAAAUGAAAACACAAAACGCUUCACUGCGUCUGUCUGGACUUUGUUCAUCGUUUAAGGAGCAGCUAAAGAGCUUCUGUUCAGGUUUAUGUUUUAUUUUUCUGUCAUGUUUUAUGGUUGUGUUGCUGUGAAAUGUUUUCAUCCAGUGAAAUAUGAUUAAUAAAUAGUUCACCUCUCCUUACAGUGAACAUUACUUCAGGUACCAGCUAAGAGAUGUGAUGAGAGGAAAACCCAGUGAGGCUGCAGGCCAAACAUUUCACUCUGCAGAUGAUAGAAAACUGGAUUCAUAUUUCACUGCUUGUCUUCCUUCAGUUAUUUUAGAAAAGUUUUUCUGCUGCCUGGUUGUUUAAUGUGAAUAAAUGUUGAAUGUUUUCAUGUUUCCAUUA